AUUGAACGCUGGCGGCAUGCUUUACACAUGCAAGUCGAGCGGCAGCGCGGGGGCAACCCUGGCGGCGAGCGGCGAACGGGUGAGUAAUGCAUCGGAACGUAUCCUCGAGUGGGGGAUAACCCAGCGAAAGUUGGGCUAAUACCGCAUGAGCUCUGAGGAGGAAAGCGGGGGACCUGCGAGGGCCUCGCGCUGGAGGAGCGGCCGAUGUCCGAUUAGCUGGUUGGUGGGGUAAAGGCUUACCAAGGCGACGAUCGGUAGCUGGUCUGAGAGGAUGAUCAGCCACACGGGGACGGAGACACGGCCCAGACUCCUACGGGAGGCAGCGGUGGGGAAUUUUGGACAAUGGGGGCAACCCUGAUCCAGCCAUGCCGCGUGGGUGAAGAAGGCUUUCGGGUUGUAAGGCUCUUUGGGGGGGAAGAAAAUGGGCAGGACUAAUACUCGUGUCUGAUGACGGUACCGUAAGAAGAAGCACCGGCUAACUACGU
rnacentral:rRNA from 1 species